AUCCUCUCAGGGUCGCACCUGGAGAGUUUCCAGCAUUCUGCCAGUCUUGACUACAGGAGGGAGAGUCAAGCAGAGGCCUACCCAUUCCAUUACUAGCUUGGGCAGUGGCUAACAAUUGGAAGGCAAUCUGCGACAAGU